UACGUAGGUGGCAAGCGUUGUCCGGAUUUAUUGGGUUUAAAGGGUGCGUAGGCGGUCUAUUAAGUCAGCGGUGAAAUACUCCAGCUUAACUGGAGGGGUGCCAUUGAUACUGAUGGACUUGAGUCAAGUCGAGGUAGGCGGAAUUGACGGUGUAGCGGUGAAAUGCUUAGAUAUCGUCAAGAACACCAAUAGUGAAGACAGCUUACUGGGCUUAAACUGACGCUGAGGCACGAAAGUGUGGGGGAUCAAAACAGG
rnacentral:rRNA from 1 species